AUAUAAUUUCACUGUAAAUAGUUAUAAAUCAUAUACAGCAAUUAAUUAUAAAAUAAAGACAAGCCUAUGCAGGUGCAAACAGAUAGUCCAUUAUCUUGCUCUUAGGUUAAUGAAAACAAAGUAUGAUAAAACAUGUUACACUGACCUUGGUGACAUACGAGUAACUGAAAUCUCAGGUUGUGAAAGUGAAAUAUAACAGCGUUCAUAUGGUUUUAACCUUUAUUAUAUAAAAUUCACAUGUCUUUUAUUGUGAGUAAAAACUGUUCCCCAGAUACUGUAUAACCAUAUGCAUAUCAGAUGAGUUUUGAGUUCUAUUUAUCCAGUGGCCAGGCUCACCCCUUUGUAGGGACAAGCUAAAAUAAGCCAACAAUGGCCUGAAAGUUCUCACAAAAAUAUAUUUGAAAAUUGAAGAGGUCACUGGUAGUUCCAGGAGCAAUCUUCUACAAAGUCACAGAGGAAUACAAUGUGUGUGUGCAUGCAGGACAGAUUAUCACCAAUGCCAAAGCAACAACAAAAUCUUCAAACAGCAAAAUCAAGGGACCCAAAUUUCAUUAAUUAAAAAGAUGAGCACUGAUGACAGCAAGCCAAGAGUCAGGACAUACCAGGGAAUGUGUCCUACACCAAGUUGUGUUGAGCUGUCAUCACUACACAGGGAGAUUCCAGUAUACAUAAUCUGCAAGCUUAUCCUGCAGAGGUAAAAUAUAAAGUGUGAUAUGCAAUGAAAAGAAUAUAUAUAAAAAUAUAAUUUAUAUAUCCUCUGCUCUUGCAAUGAUUGUCUGACAUUAUUUCUUGUUCAUUAUGUUGUUGACUUUCAUGGUAAAAAAUAUUCCUAAACUAAAUAGAAAUUUUUUGUUGCAUGCAAAAUCAUGCUAUAUGUUAUAGAUGGAACAGUUCUGUGCCUGUUGUAACAGUUACAUUUUUCAUAACAUUUCACAACAACAAAAAAUAAAUACAUUUGUUCAUAUAAGGUUUAACAUGAAUACUGGUUAAAACAGAGCCAUAUGUCCCACUUUUCUUCACUACCAAUGAAAUGUUAUGAAUCUGAAAAAGUCAUGCAUUGGACAUAUCAGAAUUUAAAAUAUCCUUACGUGAUAAUCACAACCAGUAGCCAAACCCUGUUGUGGUGUGGGCUUCUAUGCCAGAUUGAGUACUCACGUUCCACAAAGCUUAUUGAUAUGGUCACUGAAAUGUAUGAACAGUCUGUUAAACAAACUGCAGGCAUAACAAUACUGAUCACUGUUACCAUCCUAUCAAUUUAAGUUCAUAAAUGUGUACACACAUUUAACCUGCAUAUUACAGUUCUUAGUCUGAUACAUGCUGUAACCUGUUCGACUAUUUUAUAUACAAAUGCUAGUCUUGA